rnacentral:rRNA from 1 species
GAUGAACGCUAGCGGCAGGCUUAACACAUGCAAGUCGAGGGGUAACAGGGCUUCGGCCGCUGACGACCGGCAAACGGGUGCGGAACACGUACGCAACAUACCUUUAUCUGGGGCAUAGCCCGAAGAAAUUCGGAUUAACACCCCAUAAGAUUAUAGAGUGGCAUCACUUAGUAAUUAAAAAUUUAAUUGAUAGAGAUUGGCGUGCGUCCUAUUAGCUAGUUGGCGGGGUAAAGGACCCACCAAGGCGACGAUAGGUAGCUGAUGUGAGAGCAUGAUCAGCCACACGGGCACUGAGACACGGGCCCGACUCCUACGGGAGGGCAGCAGUGAGGAAUAUUGGUCAAUGGACGCAAGUCUGAACCAAGCCAUGCCGCGUGAAGGAUGAAGGCGUUCUGCGUUG